rnacentral:rRNA from 1 species
UACGUAGGGUGCGAGCGUUACUCGGAAUUACUGGGCGUAAAGCGCACGUAGGCGGCUUGGUAUGUCGGGUGUGAAAUCCCCGGGCUCAACCUGGGAACUGCAUCCGAAACUGCCUUGCUCGAGUAUGGGAGAGGGAAGUGGAAUUUCCGGUGUAGCGGUGAAAUGCGUAGAUAUCGGAAGGAACAUCAGUGGCGAAGGCGACUUCCUGGACCAAUACUGACGCUCAGGUGCGAAAGCGUGGGGAGCAAACAGG